UUCCCUCCCUAGAAUCAGAAACCACCCCGUUCCGUCGCAGCGAACGACCCACAAAAUAUCGGACCCCAUCAACGGUCGUAAUUUGAUCUGGAAUCUACAGGCUCGUUUCUGGUCGUUGGAUGAUGUAGUCUUUCCUCCUUUUUUUACCUCCGGUCGCAAGCAAGCGAGGUAUCGUCGGCCGUUGUCCGUUGCUUGUAACCGCCCGCCCUUCGGCCGGCCACGCUGUCGCUUUACUUGCUCUUACUCCGGGAAGAUCGAGGAAGGGUGGGAACCUUUCUGGCGGAGAUGUGCUCCUUUUUUCCUCGACAAAUUCUGAUGGGAUCCUUAUGGUCGUCGCCAGGCCAUUCGUGGUUACUCUCACUUUUCUUAGCGCAGUAGUUAUUUGCAUUCCAUCCGGUCUGCCAUGGCCUUAGAAAAUACAGCAGAAAUCAUCGGCACAACAGAGCAAUGCUUGCCAAAGGAAAGUGCAGUUCAGUUUAUAAACCCUCUUCAGAUGCACCACUGUUGGGCUCAAAAGUCCCAUCAACAUUAAUUUUGAUCCAAUCAAUCGGAGUCGGGCCCUUUAAAUGAGUGUUGUUAGCUAUACUCUGACGAGAUAUUCCGUUACGUGAAUUUGGUGGUCUUCAUGGGGACAAGCCCCUUGAAAAGAAUUAGUCAAUGGUUGAUGUAUGCUUCUUGGAGAAAAUGGAGUGAUGGUUACAAAGGUAUUGGCAAAAGUGAAAAAAAUCAUGCACACUCUGAAGAGCAAGAGAGAACCUGAUGCAAUUUUAACUAAUUUUGGCCAUGGCAUUGUAGCACAUCCAAAUAAUGCAAACAAAUUUUCUCCAGGGGAUUGGGACUUGAUGCAUUGUGAAACUAACUUCAACUGCAGUUUUCAGAGCCAGGUUCUCAAUAAAUAUCACAAUUUCACAAAAAGUGGGUUGCCUGGUCAAGUGCUAUCUUACGAGGAAGGUGUAUGAAAAGAUUUUCUUCAAUAUCAUUAAUUUGGUCCAGGAAGAUUUCUGGCUAAAGGAGUUACUGAAGUAGACGUUCAGAAUUAGCAAUUUUUGUUUAAAUUUAUUCCCAUGGUUCACAUCAAUUUGUAAACAGGAUUACACAAACCAAUUUCUUGGAUUGAUGCAGAUAGCAAAUGUUUCUUCCCAGGAGUUUGUUUUGAACAUUAUGAAUUAAACAGGUACUACCAUUUUUGCAAAGGUAAACAAAUACACAUGAUUCUUGAUCCAAAUGUGAAACAUGAUAUUGAUGCCCAUAUUGAGAUAUCUGUUAAUGCAGCUGAAAGCUAAUGUUCACGACCUGAUAAUGGGGAUGCGUCUAAUGUCAAGAUGGUCAAGAGCGAAGAAAAUUCUGUCAUUAUGAGAAUAAUUGUGCCGAAGGCAAUGAAACUGUCGCAGAGAAUGAUCCAUGUUCAUUCCUUACUUCCGAUAUCUCUGCUUGAGGAACUUGGCAAGAAAAGUUGUUAAGGCCUGCUAGUUAUCAGUGAUUCAACAGUGCUCUGCAGGACAUGUUGCUGCAUGGUUUAAUUAAAGUUAUUGAUGUUGAGGACAUCAUUCAAAUUCUUAAAACUCCAGUGAAUGGUGACUCGGGUUUGGUUCGAUUUAACCUUUUCCAAGAGCUGGUUGCAAUCGCUGAAAAAGUUGUGGCAACGCGAGUGUCCUUGUGCCUGGCUUGCUUCCUCCAAAAACGCUGUGGAAGAGAUGAUGUUGUAGGAGUUCUUGAAGAAACCUGUGUUUGGUAUUGGCAUUCAUCUUGCACCAGCAAAUUGCUCUAAUAUAUGGUGACAUUUUAUUUCAACCUUAUGAUAAGUACCUUUUGGCAAUAACUUGAAGACCCUAAUUUCUUGUUCUAGAAGACUGCAAACAGCUUCUAUUUUAGAUUUCAGGGUUCCUGUUAAUCAUGCACUAUUCUGUUUUUUUCUUUUUGUUGCCAAUGAUCUAUGUUGAAGAGAUGCACAUAUAUUAACCUUA